rnacentral:rRNA from 1 species
CACUCCUGCGGGAGGCAGCAGUGGGGAAUUUUGGACAAUGGGCGAAAGCCUGAUCCAGCAAUGCCGCGUGUGUGAAGAAGGCCUUCGGGUUGUAAAGCACUUUUGUCCGGAAAGAAAUCCUUGGCUCUAAUACAGUCGGGGGAUGACGGUACCGGAAGAAUAAGCACCGGCUAACUACGUGCCAGCAGCCGCGGUAAUACGUAGGGUGCGAGCGUUAAUCGGAAUUACUGGGCGUAAAGCGUGCGCAGGCGGUUUGCUAAGACCGAUGUGAAAUCCCCGGGCUCAACCUGGGAACUGCAUUGGUGACUGGCAGGCUAGAGUAUGGCAGAGGGGGGUAGAAUUCCACGUGUAGCAGUGAAAUGCGUAGAGAUGUGGAGGAAUACCGAUGGCGAAGGCAGCCCCCUGGGCCAAUACUGACGCUCAUGCACGAAAGCGUGGGGAGCAAACAGGAUUAGAUACCCGGGUAGUCCC